rnacentral:rRNA from 1 species
GAUGGCGACCGGCGCACGGGUGAGUAACACGUAUCCAACCUGCCGAUGACUCGGGGAUAGCCUUUCGAAAGAAAGAUUAAUACCCGAUGGCAUAGUUCUUCCGCAUGGUGGAACUAUUAAAGAAUUUCGGUCAUCGAUGGGGAUGCGUUCCAUUAGGUUGUUGGCGGGGUAACGGCCCACCAAGCCUUCGAUGGAUAGGGGUUCUGAGAGGAAGGUCCCCCACAUUGGAACUGAGACACGGCCCAGACUCCUACGGGAGGCAGCAUG